rnacentral:rRNA from 1 species
CCUACGGGGAGCAGCAGUGGGGAAUAUUGCGCAAUGGGCGAAAGCCUGACGCAGCGACGCCGCGUGAGUGAAGAAGGGUUUCGGCUCGUAAAGCUCUGUUGGGAGUGAAGAAAGAUAGAGGUAGUAAAUGGCCUUUAUUUGACGGGAAUUACUUAGAAAGUCACGGCUAACUACGUUCCAGCAGCCGCGGUAAUACGUAGGUUGCAAGCGUUGUCCGGAUUUAUUGGGCGUAACGCGAGUGCAGGCGGUUCAAUAAGUCUGAUGUGAAAGCCUUCGGCUCAACCGGAGAAUUGCAUCAGAAACUGUUGAACUUGAGUGCAGAAGAGGAGAGUGGAACUACAUGUGUAGCGGUGGAAUGCGUAGAUAUAUGGAAGAACACCAGUGGCGAAGGCGGCUCUCUGGUCUGCAACUGACGCUGAGGCUCGAAAGCAUGGGUAGCGAACAGGAUUAGAUACCCUAGUAGUC